AGCACCGCACGUCGCGUGGUG
rnacentral:siRNA from 1 species